rnacentral:rRNA from 1 species
CAUGGCUUUUUGAUUUUAAUUUAAAGUUUAAUCUGCCCACUGAAUAAUUUUAAAGGGCCGCAGUAUAUUAACUGUGCAAAGGUAGCAUAAUCAUUAGUUUUUUAAUUGAAAGCUUGUAUGAAUGAUUGAACGAAAUAUAAACUGUCUCAAAUAAAAUUUAAUAAAAUUUUAUUUUUUAGUUAAAAAGCUAAAAUAUAUUUAAAAGACGAGAAGACCCUAUAGAUCUUUAUAUUUAUUUUAUAUUAUUUUAAAAAGAAUAAAUUUAAAUUAUAUAAUAAAAUAAUAUUUUGUUGGGGUGACAUUGAAAUUUAAUAAACUUUCAAUUUUUAUAAAACAAAAAUUAUUGAUUUUUUGAUCCUUUAUUAUUGAUAAAAAGUUUAAGUUACCUUAGGGAUAACAGCGUAAUUAUUUUGGAGAGUUCAUAUCGAUAAAAUAGGUUGCGACCUCGAUGUUGGAUUAAGAUUAAUUUUAGGCGUAGCAGUUWAAAUUAUUAAGUCUGUUCGACUUUUAAUUUCU